AGCGAACGCUGGCGGCAGGCCUAACACAUGCAAGUCGAACGAAGUCUUCGGACUUAGUGGCGGACGGGUGAGUAACACGUGGGAACGUGCCUUUAGGUUCGGAAUAACUCAGGGAAACUUGUGCUAAUACCGAAUGUGCCCUUCGGGGGAAAGAUUUAUCGCCUUUAGAGCGGCCCGCGUCUGAUUAGCUAGUUGGUGAGGUAAAGGCUCACCAUGGCGACGAUCAGUAGCUGGUCUGAGAGGAUGAUCAGCCACAUUGGGACUGAGACACGGCCCAAACUCCUACGGGAGGCAGCAGUGGGGAAUCUUGCGCAAUGGGCGAAAGCCUGACGCAGCCAUGCCGCGUGAAUGAUGAAGGUCUUAGGAUUGUAAAAUUCUUUCACCGGGGACGAUAAUGACGGUACCCGGAGAAGAAGCCCCGGCUAACUUCGUGCCAGCAGCCGCAGUAACAC
rnacentral:rRNA from 1 species